GGCAAGGUCACUCAACGCCAAAUUCCUUUCCAUUCAGCCCCAGCUCCAGCUCCGGGACCAGCUGGGGCUCCUUUACUCCAAGUCAUGAUACCCCGAAGGUACAGGGACACGGCUGGAAGGAGCGAGCCCUCGGGGGCCCCUGGUGGGGUCCCCGGGGGUCCCGUCCUCACCCCUGCAAGCACGCAAGCAGAGCUCUCACCACAGGCGCUGCACUGCGGCUGGCGCUGGGGCAUCCAGCUGGCAGAGCUGUUUCCAUUUCUCUCACACGCCCCCGGAUGGGAAAUGAUUCAUGAAAACCAAGAAGGUAAAAUUAGCCCAAAGGCUGCCGAGUAAUUUAUGCAGCCAACAGGGCCAGGAGGGAGGGAAGGCCCACGCUGCCAGCUCAGUGUGGCCUCCCAGGGGCUGGCAGAGGCCAGCCUGGCCAUCAGGAGCCUCUGUCUCUGGGGUCUUCUAUUUCUGGACUCAGCCUCCAGGGCCGUUGGCAGGCCUUCCGGAACCAUCGCUGACCCCCGCCCCACCACACUCCACAGACCCACAAGGCUGCCGCUGGGGACCUGCUAAGUGCCGGGGGCCUGCUGGGGAGAAGCUCAAGCAUUUCAUCCUGUCAACCCGAAGCCUUCCCAGGCCCCAGUCCAGGACCUGCAGGGCCAAGCCGGGAAGAAAUCCAAUUACCCGCUGCAUUCCCAGGCAGCAGCCUCCUCUGGGAAAUCAGCGAGUAGACAGGGGGAUGAGACCUUUGCAAAGGCUGGAGUCAUCCCAGGCUGCCCACCGGGAGCACAGGCCCCUGUCCGCAGGGGUGAGGAGCGCAGCUAUACAGGCGAGACCUCGGGAUAGAGUACUGUUGGGAUUUUGCUGGGUGCCUGGCACGACACUUUGCGUUUUACCUGUGUUCGCCUCUUUGUCCUCACAGAAGCCCCGUGACGCAGAUGCAGUUGUCACCUCUAUUUUACAGAGGCUGGAACUGAGGCACAGAGAGGUGAAGGAGAUUUCCCAGAACCACCAAGAGUUGAAGGCCACCAAGAGCCCACUUGCCACAACAGCCACCCAAGAGACGGGUCACUCAAAAACGCGUCCUUUGAGCAAGGGUAGAAAAACCCAAGUGUGAAGGAGAAAAGUGUCCAGGGCCCGUGGCUACCGUCGGCAGCUCUCCGGGGACUUGGCAGGGGACAGGAGAGCAGCCCUUUCCCCCGGCUCUAAAGAAGAGACACGGGAAUAGUUUGGGAACUACAGGGUGACAUUUGGUUCUGUGCAAAGUCUCAGUGGACAGACU